rnacentral:snRNA from 1 species
GAUCAGUACUUGGCUUCUUGCCUGGCACCCCCCUAGUUGCCACAGUUGACUACGCUGAUCAGGCUGGCUAGUUGGGUGUCUUGUUCCUUUCUCACUGUCUCAUAUGUGUCCUUCUGGAAGCUGAAUGAUCUGUGGAAAGGAAUGACCUUUUAUGGUAGAGGAGUGCCUGCAUCAGUGGCGGGUGUACGGAUGGUUGCAUUCCCAUUAGAGCUCCAAAAUGGCUCUCGACGUUCGAAUGUGACCAUGCAGAGCGCAUCAUUCAUUGUUG